GUAGUACUCCCUUUGUUCGGAAAUACUUGUCAUUGAAAUGAAUGUAUCUAGAUGUAUUUUAGUUCUAGAUACAUCUAUUUUCAUCCAUUUUGAUGACAAGUAAUUCCGGACGGAAGGAGUAUGUA
rnacentral:pre_miRNA from 1 species